UGGAGCCGUAUGAAGUGAAAAUCUCAUGUAUGGUUCUGUAGAGUGACAAUAAGGGUGACUUGUUUGUCAACAUUUCCACUAUCAC
rnacentral:ncRNA from 1 species